AUUAGAAUAGAAUUCAGUUGUUGGAAUUACAAACUACAUUGAUCUUGGGUUUGAGCUACAAACAAGUGUUGAUGAUGCAAUAGCAGCAAACAAUAUCUCCGACUCCACUUUUCAAAUUGGUGCAUCCUGGCAAGCCAAUAAAAACUUCUUGCUGAAGGCAAAAGUUGGACCUAGUAGCUCAUCACUGGCACUUGCAUUCAAGUCAUGGUGGAAACCUUCUUUCACUUUCAGCAUUUCAGCCACAAGGGAUCGUGCCGAUGGUAAAGUACAAUUCGGGUUUGGUAUUCAAAGUGAAAGUCUUCGAGAAGCCAGGUUACUUUCUUUGCAAAAUUUGAUUUUUUUUCAAUUCAGUUAAAUUAUCUCCUAAUAAAGUAUCACUU